AAACAUGUCCUUAUGAAUUUUAUAUUUAAGGUCUAACCUGCCCAAUGAAUAUUAUUUUUAAUGGCCGCGGUAUUUUAACCGUGCUAAGGUAGCAUAAUCAUUUGUCUUUUAAUUGAAGGCUUGUAUGAAGGGUUGGACGAGGAACUAGCUUUCUUUAACUCAAAUUAAAUGAAAUUAAUUUUUUAGUUAAAAGGCUAAAAUUUUUUUAUGGGACGAGAAGACCCUGUAGAUUUUUAUAUUUAAUUUUAGUAUUUAAGUUUAGUGAUUAAAUAAUAUUUUAUUAAAAUAAGUAUUUGGUUGGGGUGAUUGUAGAAUUUAAAGUAACUUCUAUUAUAUUAUAUCAUAAAUUAAUGUAAUUUUGAUCCAUUAUUAAUGAAAAUAAGAUUAAAUUACCUCAGGGAUAACAGCGUAAUUUUUUCGGAGAGUUCUUAUCGAUGAAAGAGUUUGCGACCUCGAUGUUGGAUUAAAAUAAGUAUUGGGCGCAGUAGCCUGAGAACUAGGUUUGUUCAACCUUUAAUUUUUUACAUGAUCUGAGUUCA
rnacentral:rRNA from 1 species